UACGGGGGGGGCAAGCGUUGUUCGGAAUUACUGGGCGUAAAGGGCUCGUUGGCGGCCCACUAAGUCGGAUGUGAAAUCCCCAGGCUCAACCUGGGAACUGCAUCCGAUACUGGAUGGCUUGAAUCCGGGAGAGGGAUGCAGAAUUCCAGGUGUAGCGGUGAAAUGCGUAGAUAUCUGGAGGAAUACCGGUGGCGAAGGCGGCAUCCUGGACCGGCAUUGACGCUGAGGAGCGAAAGCUAGGGGAGCAAACGGG
rnacentral:rRNA from 1 species